UGAUUGAUGGUGCUUGCACCUGAUUGACGAUGGAUCACCAGUGAGUGGCGGACGGGUGAGUAACACGUAGGUAACCUGCCCCGGAGCGGGGGAUAACAUUUGGAAACAGAUGCUAAUACCGCAUAACAACAAAAGCCACAUGGCUUUUGUUUGAAAGAUGGCUUUGGCUAUCACUCUGGGAUGGACCUGCGGUGCAUUAGCUAGUUGGUAAGGUAACGGCUUACCAAGGCGAUGAUGCAUAGCCGAGUUGAGAGACUGAUCGGCCACAAUGGAACUGAGACACGGUCCAUACUCCUACGGGAGGCAGCAGUAGGGAAUCUUCCACAAUGGGCGCAAGCCUGAUGGAGCAACACCGCGUGAGUGAAGAAGGGUUUCGGCUCGUAAAGCUCUGUUGUUGGAGAAGAACGUGCGUGAGAGUAACUGUUCACGCAGUGACGGUAUCCAACCAGAAAGUCACGGCUAACUACGUGCCAGCAGCCGCGGUAAUACGUAGGUGGCAAGCGUUAUCCGGAUUUAUUGGGCGUAAAGCGAGCGCAGGCGGUUGCUUAGGUCUGAUGUGAAAGCCUUCGGCUUAACCGAAGAAGUGCAUCGGAAACCGGGCGACUUGAGUGCAGAAGAGGACAGUGGAACUCCAUGUGUAGCGGUGGAAUGCGUAGAUAUAUGGAAGAACACCAGUGGCGAAGGCGGCUGUCUGGUCUGCAACUGACGCUGAGGCUCGAAAGCAUGGGUAGCGAACAGGAUUAGAUACCCUGGUAGUCCAUGCCGUAAACGAUGAGUGCUAGGUGUUGGAGGGUUUCCGCCCUUCAGUGCCGGAGCUAACGCAUUAAGCACUCCGCCUGGGGAGUACGACCGCAAGGUUGAAACUCAAAGGAGUUGACGGGGGCCCGCACAAACGGUGGAGCAUGUGGUUUAAUUCGAAGCUACGCGAAGAACCUCCCCAGGUCUUGACAUCUUGCGCUAACCUUAGAGAUAAGGCGUUCCCUUCGGGGACGCAAUGACAGGUGGUGCAUGGUCGUCGUCAGCUCGUGUCGUGAGAUGUUGGGUUAAGUCCCGCAACGAGCGCAACCCUUGUUACUAGUUGCCAGCAUUAAGUUGGGCACUCUAGUGAGACUGCCGGUGACAAACCGGAGGAAGGUGGGGACGACGUCAGAUCAUCAUGCCCCUUAUGACCUGGGCUACACACGUGCUACAAUGGACGGUACAACGAGUCGCAAGCUCGCGAGAGUAAGCUAAUCUCUUAAAGCCGUUCUCAGUUCGGACUGUAGGCUGCAACUCGCCUACACGAAGUCGGAAUCGCUAGUAAUCGCGGAUCAGCAUGCCGCGGUGAAUACGUUCCCGGGCCUUGUACACACCGCCCGUCACACCA
rnacentral:rRNA from 1 species